CCUACGGGAGGCAGCAGUGGGGAAUAUUGCACAAUGGGGGGAACCCUGAUGCAGCGACGCCGCGUGAGUGAAGAAGUAUUUCGGUAUGUAAAGCUCUAUCAGCAGGGAAGAAAAUGACGGUACCUGACUAAGAAGCCCCGGCUAACUACGUGCCAGCAGCCGCGGGAAUACGUAGGGGGCAAGCGUUAUCCGGAUUUACUGGGUGUAAAGGGAGCGCAGACGGCUGUGCAAGUAUGGAGUGAAAGGCGGGGGCCCAACCCCCGGACUGCUCUGGAAACUGUAAAGCUUGAGUGCAGGAGAGGUAAGCGGAAUUCCUAGUGUAGCGGUGAAAUGCGUAGAUAUUAGGAGGAACACCAGUGGCGAAGGCGGCUUACUGGACUGCAACUGACGUUGAGGCUCGAAAGCGUGGGGAGCAAACAGGAUUAGAUACCCUGGUAGUC
rnacentral:rRNA from 1 species